AGUGAACGCUGGCGGUAGGCCUAACACAUGCAAGUCGAACGGCAGCACAGUAAGAGCUUGCCCCUACGGGUGGCGAGUGACGGACGGGUGAGGAAUACAUCGGCAUCUACUUUUUCGGGGGGGAUAACGUAGGGAAACUUACGCUAAUACCGCAUACGACCUACGGGUGAGAGCAGGGGAUAUUCGGGCCUUGCGCGAUUGAAUGAGCCGAUGUCGCAUUAGCUAGUUGGUGGGGUAAGGGCACACCAAGGCGACGAUCCGUAGCUGGUCUGAGAGGAUGAUCAGCCACACUGGAACUGAGACACGGUCCAGACUCCUACGGGAGGCAGCAGUAGGGAAUAUUGGACAAUGGGCGCAAGCCUGAUCCAGCCAUACCGCGUGAGUGAAGAAGGCCUUCGGGUUGUAAAGCCCUUUUGUUGGGAAAGAAAAGCAGCAUGUUAAUACCCCGCUGUUCUGACGGUACCCAAAGAAUAAGCACCGACUAACUUCGUG
rnacentral:rRNA from 1 species